AUGUAAUGCCUAUAGUAUUAAUGCACUGGAUCCCAUAGAACUCUGCAGUUAAGUGCGCUUGGGCUAGAGUAGUACUAGGAUGAGUGAUCUCCUAGGAAUUCCUAGUGUUUUACAUU
rnacentral:rRNA from 1 species